rnacentral:rRNA from 1 species
CUCGUAGGUGGCCAACUAAGUCAGACGUGAAAUCCCUCAGCUUAACUGGGGAACUGCGUCUGAUACUGGAUGGCUUGAGUUUGGGAGAGGGAUGCGGAAUUCCAGGUGUAGCGGUGAAAUGCGUAGAUAUCUGGAGGAACACCGGUGGCGAAGGCGGCAUCCUGGACCAACACUGACACUGAGGAGAGAAACGCCGAGGGGGAGACGAAACG